rnacentral:rRNA from 1 species
GACGAACGCUGGCGGCGUGCUUAACACAUGCAAGUCGAGCGGUAAGGCCCUUUCGGGGGUACGACGAGCGGCGAACGGGUGAGUAACACGUGGGUGACCUGCCCUCAGCUCUGGGAUAAGCCUGGGAAACCGGGUCUAAUACUGGAUAUGACUCCAUGACGCAUGUUGUGGGGUGGAAAGCCUUGUGCGGCUGAGGAUGGGCCCGCGGCCUAUCAGCUUGUUGGUGGGGUGANGGCCUACCAAGGCGACGACGGGUAGCCGGCCUGAGAGAGCGACCGGCCACACUGGGACUGAGACACGGCCCAGACUCCUACGGGAGGCAGCAGUGGGGAAUCUUGCGCAAUGGGCGAAAGCCUGACGCAGCGACGCCGCGUGAGGGAUGACGGCCU